GGGUUUCUGUAGCUUAACUGACACUGAUGUCAUCACCGCCUGUCUGCAGCGCCGGCCGCUUAUGAUAUUAUAUUCACCCCCCCCCCCUCCCUCCAGUUAGGAGCGGCGAAGAGAGGGAGAGCUGGAGGGAGGGGGGAUGUAUAUUCAUUUGUGGGCGGCGCUGCGGAGGGGCGGCGCUGAUGUCAGUGCCAGUUAAGCUACAGAAACCCCACCUUGCCAGUUACAGCCAGAUUUCCACAAAUAAUAAAACUAAGAUUGCGGGCGAACGGCCAGGCGGAUCUGGCCAAGAUGGAAAAGCAGCCGUAACGGUUUGGAUAACCACAUGAGACUCUAUAGACACAGACUGUGAAACCACAAGAAGGAUGUAUCUUCAGCGACACACAGAAGCGAGGUUUCAGCUGUAGUGUCAUCAACAACUAAGCAGCAUAUCUCGGCUCUAAUUAAACAUAGAAGCAAUCAAUAAACACGGCUGUAAAAGGAAUAUAUUAGUCUAGUGCGAGGAUUACAUAUGUAUACAUUUUCCUAUGCUAUAAAACUAUACACAAUGACAAAUCGACUUC